AUUGAACGCUGGCGGCAGGCCUAACACAUGCAAGUCGAACGAGUGGCGGACGGGUGAGUACUGUCUGGGAAUCUGCCUCAUGGAGGGGGAUAACUACGGGAAACGGUAGCUAAUACCGCAUACCAUCGGAUGUGCCCAGAUGGGAUUAGCUAGUAGGUGAGGUAAAGGCUCACCUAGGCGACGAUCCCUAGCUGGUCUGAGAGGAUGACCAGCAACACUGGAACGUAGACAGGGUCCAGACUCCUACGGGAGGCAGAAGUGGGGAAUAUUGCACAAUGGGAGCAAGCCUGAUGCAGCCAUGCCGCGUGUAUGAAGAAGGCCUUCGGGUUGUAAAGUACUUUCAGCGGGGAGGCGUUACCUGCAGAAGAAGCACCGGCUAACUCCGUGCCAGCAGCCGCGGUAAUUC
rnacentral:rRNA from 1 species